rnacentral:rRNA from 1 species
CCAACCUACGGGAGGCAGCAGUGGGGAAUAUUGCGCAAUGGACGAAAGUCUGACGCAGCGACGCCGCGUGAGGGAUGAAGGUUUUCGGAUCGUAAACCUCUGUCAGGAGGGAAGAAAGCGUAUGGCGCCAAUCAGCCAUGCGUUGACGGUACCUCCAAAGGAAGCGCCGGCUAACUCCGUGCCAGCAGCCGCGGUAAUACGGAGGGCGCGAGCGUUAAUCGGAAUUACUGGGCGUAAAGCGCGCGUAGGCUGUUGUGGAAGUUGGGGGGGAAAUCCAACGGCUCAACCGUGGAACAGCCCUGGAU